GGGGGACGGAGAAGGCUAUGUUGGCCGGGCGACGGUUGUCCCGGUUUAAGCGUGUAGGUGUGUGUUCCAGGUAAAUCCGGUUCACUUUAACACUGAGGCGUGACGACGAGGCACUACGGUGCUGAAGCAACAAAUGCCCUGCUUCCAGGAAAAGCCUCUAAGCAUCAGGUAACAUCAAAUCGUACCCCAAACCGACACAGGUGGUCAGGUAGAGAAUACCAAGGCGCUUGAGAGAACUCGGGUGAAGGAACUAGGCAAAAUGGUGCCGUAACUUCGGGAGAAGGCACGCUGACACGUAGGUGAAGUGAUUUACUCAUGGAGCUGAAGUCAGUCGAAGAUACCAGCUGGCUGCAACUGUUUAUUAAAAACACAGCACUGUGCAAACACGAAAGUGGACGUAUACGGUGUGACGCCUGCCCGGUGCCGGAAGGUUAAUUGAUGGGGUCAGCGCAAGCGAAGCUCCUGAUCGAAGCCCCGGUAAACGGCGGCCGUAACUAUAACGGUCCUAAGGUAGCGAAAUUCCUUGUCGGGUAAGUUCCGACCUGCACGAAUGGCGUAAUGAUGGCCAGGCUGUCUCCACCCGAGACUCAGUGAAAUUGAACUCGCUGUGAAGAUGCAGUGUACCCGCGGCAAGACGGAAAGACCCCGUGAACCUUUACUAUAGCUUGACACUGAACAUUGAGCCUUGAUGUGUAGGAUAGGUGGGAGGCUUUGAAGCGUGGACGCCAGUCUGCGUGGAGCCGACCUUGAAAUACCACCCUUUAAUGUUUGAUGUUCUAACGUGGACCCGUGAUCCGGGUUGCGGACAGUGUCUGGUGGGUAGUUUGACUGGGGCGGUCUCCUCCUAAAGAGUAACGGAGGAGCACGAAGGUUGGCUAAUCCUGGUCGGACAUCAGGAGGUUAGUGCAAUGGCAUAAGCCAGCUUGACUGCGAGCGUGACGGCGCGAGCAGGUGCGAAAGCAGGUCAUAGUGAUCCGGUGGUUCUGAAUGGAAGGGCCAUCGCUCAACGGAUAAAAGGUACUCCGGGGAUAACAGGCUGAUACCGCCCAAGAGUUCAUAUCGACGGCGGUGUUUGGCACCUCGAUGUCGGCUCAUCACAUCCUGGGGCUGAAGUAGGUCCCAAGGGUAUGGCUGUUCGCCAUUUAAAGUGGUACGCGAGCUGGGUUUAGAACGUCGUGAGACAGUUCGGUCCCUAUCUGCCGUGGGCGCUGGAGAACUGAGGGGGGCUGCUCCUAGUACGAGAGGACCGGAGUGGACGCAUCACUGGUGUUCGGGUUGUCAUGCCAAUGGCACUGCCCGGUAGCUAAAUGCGGAAGAGAUAAGUGCUGAAAGCAUCUAAGCACGAAACUUGCCCCGAGAUGAGUUCUCCCUGAGACUUAAAGUCUCCUGAAGGAACGUUGAAGACGACGACGUUGAUAGGCCGGGUGUGUAAGCGCAGCGAUGCGUUGAGCUAACCGGUACUAAUGAACCGUGAGGCUUAACCUUACAACGCCGAAG
rnacentral:rRNA from 1 species